CUAGCGACUUCAGAGUUUGAUCCUGGCUCAGGAUGAACGCUGGCGGCGUGCUUAACACAUGCAAGUCGAACGAAGCACUUUGAUUUCUUCGGAUUGAAGAGUGACUGAGUGGCGGACGGGUGAGUAACGCGUGGGUAACCUGCCUCAUACAGGGGGAUAACAGUUAGAAAUGACUGCUAAUACCGCAUAAGCGCACAGUACCGCAUGGUACGGUGUGAAAAACUCCGGUGGUAUGAGAUGGACCCGCGUCUGAUUAGCUAGUUGGUGGGGUAACGGCCCACCAAGGCGACGAUCAGUAGCCGACCUGAGAGGGUGACCGGCCACAUUGGGACUGAGACACGGCCCAA
rnacentral:rRNA from 1 species